rnacentral:rRNA from 1 species
ACUCAAAGGAAUAGACGGGGGCCCGCACAAGCGGUGGAGCAUGUGGUUUAAUUCGUUACUAACCGAAGAACCUUACCCAGGCUUGACAUCCCCGGACAGCCCAUGAAAGUGGGUCUUCUCUCCCACAAGGAGAGACUGGGUGACAGGUGUUGCAUGGCUGUCGUCAGCUCGUGUCGUGAGAUGUUGGGUUAAGUCCCGCAACGAGCGCAACCCUCAUCGCAUGUUGCCAGCGUAAAGUCGGGCACUCUUGCGAAACUGCCCGUGUAAGCGGGAGGAAGGUGGGGAUGACGUCAAGUCGGCAUGGCCCUUACGCCUGGGGCUACACACAUGCUACAAUGGCCGGUAACAGAGGGCAGCAAGACCGCGAGGUGGAGCUAAUCCCAAAAACCCGGCCCCAGUUCGGAUUGCAGUCUGCAACUCGACUGCAUGAAGGCGGAAUCGCUAGUAACCGCAGAUCAGCUAUGCUGCGGUGAAUACGUUCCCGGGCCUUGUACACACCGCCCGU